rnacentral:rRNA from 1 species
ACGGGUGAGUAACGCGUGGGAACAUACCUCUUGGUUCGGAACAACACAGGGAAACUUGUGCUAAUACCGGAUAAGCCCUUACGGGGAAAGAUUUAUCGCCGAGAGAUUGGCCCGCGUCUGAUUAGCUAGUUGGUGUGGUAAAAGCGCACCAAGGCGACGAUCAGUAGCUGGUCUGAGAGGAUGAUCAGCCACAUUGGGACUGAGACACGGCCCAAACUCCUACGGGAGGCAGCAGUGGGGAAUAUUGGACAAUGGGCGCAAGCCUGAUCCAGCCAUGCCGCGUGAGUGAUGAAGGCCCUAGGGUUGUAAAGCUCUUUUGUGCGGGAAGAUAAUGACGGUACCGCAAGAAUAAGCCCCGGCUAACUUCGUGCCAGCAGCCGCGGUAAUACGAAGGGGGCUAGCGUUGCUCGGAAUCACUGGGCGUAAAGGGUGCGUAGGCGGGUUUCUAAGUCAGAGGUGAAAUCCUGGAGCUCAACUCCAGAACUGCCUUUGAUACUGGAAGUCUUGAGUAUGGGAGAGGUGAGUGGAACUGCGAGU